rnacentral:rRNA from 1 species
ACGCUCGACACCUACGGGAGGCAGCAGUGAGGAAUAUUGGUCAAUGGGCGCUAGCCUGAACCAGCCAAGUAGCGUGAAGGAUGAAGGCUCUAUGGGUCGUAAACUUCUUUUAUAUAAGAAUAAAGUGCAGUAUGUAUACUGUUUUGUAUGUAUUAUAUGAAUAAGGAUCGGCUAACUCCGUGCCAUCAGCCGCGGUAAUCUGAGCGGGCUGGCAAGGC